UGUAGUAUAGUGUACAAUGCACGUGAAUUUUUGAUUUUCAAAGAUUAAGUUUAAUUCUUAAUAUUACAA
rnacentral:tRNA from 1 species